UGGGGAAUUUUGGACAAUGGGCGAAAGCCUGAUCCAGCAAUGCCGCGUGUGUGAAGAAGGCCUUCGGGUUGUAAAGCACUUUUGUCCGGAAAGAAAUCCUUGGCUCUAAUACAGUCGGGGGAUGGCGGGUACCGGAAGAAUAAGCACCGGCUAACUACGUGCCAGCAGCCGCGGUAAUACGUAGGGUGCAAGCGUUAAUCGGAAUUACUGGGCGUAAAGCGUGCGCAGGCGGUUUGCUAAGACCGAUGUGAAAUCCCCGGGCUCAACCUGGGAACUGCAUUGGUGACUGGCAGGCUAGAGUAUGGCAGAGGGGGGUAGAAUUCCACGUGUAGCAGUGAAAUGCGUAGAGAUGUGGAGGAAUACCGAUGGCGAAGGCAGCCCCCUGGGCCAAUACUGACGCUCAUGCACGAAAGCGUGGGGAGCAAACAGGAUUAGAUACCCUGGUAGUCCACGCCCUAAACGAUGUCAACUAGUUGUUGGGGAUUCAUUUCCUUAGUAACGUAGCUAACGCGUGAAGUUGACCGCCUGGGGAGUACGGUCGCAAGAUUAAAACUCAAAUGAAUUGACGGGGUCAUAGCUGUUUCCU
rnacentral:rRNA from 1 species